CGGACCUAAAAACCCUUUAAA
rnacentral:tRNA from 1 species